rnacentral:lncRNA from 10 species
AGGCUGGAAACACUCUUUUUGUAGAACAUACAAAUGGACAUUUCUAAGCACAUUGAGGCCUAUAAUGAAAAAUCAAAUAUCCCACAAUGAAAACUAGAAGGAAGCUAUCUGUGAUAAUGCUUUGUGGUGUAUGGAUUCAUCUCACUGACUGAAACCUGAGUUUUGAUUCACCAGGUUGGAAACUCUUUCUGCAGAAUCUGCAAAGAAAUAUUUCUGAGCCCAUUGAGGCCUACAGUGGAAAACUGAAUAUUCUGUGAUAAAACUAGAAACACCCUAUCUGUGAAAAUGCUUUGUGAUGUGUGGAUUUUUCUCAUCGAAUGGAACCUCUGUUUUGACUCACAAGGGUGAAACACUAUUUUAGUAGAAUCUAGGAAGAAACAUAUCUGAGCCCAUUUAUGCCUACAGUGAGAAACUGAAUACCCUGCAAUAAAAAGUAGACAGAAGCUAUUUGUAAAAAUGCUUUGUGAUGUGUGGAUUCAGUGUUAAACUUUUAUUUUGAUUCCACAGUUUUGACACCCUAUUUGUAGAAUAUAUGAAUGAACAUUUCUCAGCCCAUUGAGGCCUAUCAUGUGAAACCAAAUAUUUUAUAAUAAAAACUGGAAACAAGUG